UGGGGAAUAUUGCACAAUGGGCGAAAGCCUGAUGCAGCAACGCCGCGUGAGUGAUGAAGGCCUUCGGGUUGUAAAGCUCUGUCUUUUGGGACGAUAAUGACGGUACCAAAGGAGGAAGCCACGGCUAACUACGUGCCAGCAGCCGCGGUAAUACGUAGGUGGCAAGCGUUGUCCGGAUUUACUGGGCGUAAAGGAUGCGUAGGCGGAUUUUUAAGUGAGAUGUGAAAACCCUAAGCUUAACUUGGGGACUGCAUUUCAUACUGGAAAUCUAGAGUGCGGGAGAGGAGAAUGGAAUUCCUAGUGUAGCGGUGAAAUGCGUAGAGAUUAGGAAGAACACCAGUGGCGAAGGCGAUUCUCUGGACCGUAACUGACGCUGAGGCAUGAAAGCGUGGGUAGCAAACAGGAUUAGAUACCCUGGUAGUCCACGCCGUAAACGAUGAGUACUAGGUGUAGGAGGUAUCGACCCCUUCUGUGCCGCAGUUAACACAAUAAGUACUCCGCCUGGGAAGUACGAUCGCAAGAUUAAAAACUUAAAUGAAUUGACGGGGUCAUAGC
rnacentral:rRNA from 1 species